ensembl:lncRNA
GGGGAGAUAAUUCAGCUGUGUGCCCUACACUGCAUCUCCAAGAGCCCUGGGGAGUCAGCCCCGCCACUCAAAGGGAGAUCUUGGCAGAGGCUUGCCCUAGGGGAGAGAGAUGUGGAGGCCAGAAAGAAACUCCAUGUGCAGUCCUUCGGAGAAAACUCAAUUCUUAUGUGGCCUUGGUCCAUCUCAUGCUCGCCUGGCACGAACACAAGCAACCACUUCAUACCUUAUUGUGAGGCUCAAAUUAACAGAGUGUAAAGAACCAAGGAAGCUAUAAAUAGCUGUGAACACAUGAAGACCUAUUGUUGUAAUUGGCAGCCACUGAUUCCUAUUUGGAGACGAUUCUGUCUGUGAAGCAUGUCCCCGCUUAUCUCUUGUUUAUAGAAAAGCUUUAGUCUCCCCGGCCUCCACUGAGUACCAAAGGCUGGCUCAGGAAUUACUGACUGGAAGAAUAUGAACAUGUAGUAACAAAAGACAGUAAUUGGGCCAAGAGAACAGAUACUAAAACCCCCACUAGAUGGAAGGAGAUAACUUCAUGAUAACAAUGAACACAGAGCCCCAAGAUUGGUUGGAAUUGGCAAGUUGAUGAUAUUAACUCCUGAUUAACCACCACCGACCGAUCAGAAGAAUGUCCACAAACUAAUCAAACCUCACAAGCCUCUUCCUUAAGGAUAAGGGAUCUUUAAAAACAUUUUCCCCAAAUGAGAUCUGAGGCCUUUAGAACAUUAGCUCCCCUCAUACACCUUGCUUGCCUUUCAAUAAAUGCUGCACUUUGUUUCACCACCACCUUGUCAGUAAACUGGCCUUACUGAGCUUAGGCAAAUAGACCCAAGUUUGUUUUGGUAACAUCAGGUUCCACUGAGACAUGGGCCAGAUCUUUAGUUCACCUAAACAUUCAUCAGCAGGAUCACAUGCCUGUGUUAAGCCAGGAGCUCAGAGUCUGGACAGGAAAGCAGGCUCAGGAAUAGACAAAUUAUAUCAGAAGGCAGUCUGUGCAAGCCCAGAAGGGAAAUCAUGAUGCCUGGGAUCCAGGAAUCAAGGAGGGUUGGGAGAAAGGGGAGAAGGCUUCACUGAGGAGGUGAUUUUGAACAAGAGUGGAACUUACCGCAUGAAAAAAACAGUUCUCCUUAAAGAAAGGAGCAUGUGCAAAGACCAGAGUGUAUCUGGCAGGAGGGUGUGGAAUCCAGUGUAGGGGCACUGAGUGUAAAUAUGGGGUUACAGGUGGUAUAGGUUGUGGCCACAUUAGGAGGCCGAUUGCAGGAUAAGCUAAGAUGCUCAGGCAGCAUCUGGGAGUGAGUCUGCCGAGAGGCGGUGCAGAGUGCU